rnacentral:rRNA from 1 species
CACCAAGGGCAUAUGGUGGAUGUCUCGGCGUCAGAAGGCGAUGAAGGACGUUGGAACCUGCGAUAAGCUUCAGGGAGCUGGUAACCGAGCUGUGAUCUGAAGAUUUCCGAAUGGGGUAACCCGGCCGCAAGGUCACUGCAUGCUGAAUGCAUAGGCAUGCAGAGCGAACCCGGUGAACUGAAACAUCUCAGUAACCGGAGGAAAGGAAAGCAACCGCGACUCCGUAAGUAGCGGCGAGCGAAAGCGGAUUAAGCAGGAGCUGCGCGAACGUGUUGGAAAGCACGACCAGAGAAGGUGAUGGUCCUGUAGCGCAGUAUCUGUGUAGCCCUAGAGUAGUGUCGGGCCCGUGAAACCCGGCAUGAACAUGGGGGGUCCACCCUCCAAGGCUAAGUACUCUCUGACGACCGAUAGUGAACCAGUAAGGCGACUGAACGAUGAAAAGAUCCCUUGUUAAGGGAGUGAAACAGUACCUGAAACCAUAUGCUUACACAGCGGUCGGAGCCCCUUCGGGGGUGACGGCGUGCCUUUUGCAUAAUGAUCC